rnacentral:rRNA from 1 species
UACGUAGGGUGCGAGCGUUAAUCGGAAUUACUGGGCGUAAAGCGUGCGCAGGCGGUUUUGUAAGCCAGAUGUGAAAUCCCCGGGCUUAACCUGGGAAUGGCAUUUGGGACUGCAAGGCUGGAGUGUGGCAGAGGAGACUGGAAUUCCCGGUGUAGCAGUGAAAUGCGUAGAUAUCGGGAGGAAUACCGAUGGCGGAGGCAGGUCUCUGGGCUGACACUGACGCUCAUGCACGAAAGCGUGGGGAGCAAACAGG